UGGCGCCCAACGUGAGAGCUCAAGUCAAGGAAUACAGUGAGGGACGCCGUCAGGACCAGAGGGCACAGGAGAACUAAGAAACCCGGAGGAAAGAGCGUCGUGGGAGCCUGCCACGGACUCCCGCUCCGGUAAGCGGACGGCGAAUAUGGGACAGGAAAUCAGCCAGCAUGAGUUGUUUAUAGAGAGUUUAAGUAAGGCUUUAAAAGCGCGAGGAGUAAAGAUGAAAAUAAAACAAUUGUGUAAGUAUUUCGAUUAUAUUCAAGAUGUCUGCCCUU
rfam:Callithrix jacchus chromosome 14, whole genome shotgun sequence